GAUGAACGCUGGCGGCGUGCCUAAUACAUGCAAGUCGAGCGAACAGACGAGGAGCUUGCUCCUCUGACGUUAGCGGCGGACGGGUGAGUAACACGUGGAUAACCUACCUAUAAGACUGGGAUAACUUCGGGAAACCGGAGCUAAUACCGGAUAACAUGUUGAACCGCCUGGUUCCACAGUGAAAGACGGUCUUGCUGUCACUUAUAGAUGGAUCCGCGCCGCAUUAGCUAGUUGGUAAGGUAACGGCUUACCAAGGCAACGAUGCGUAGCCGACCUGAGAGGGUGAUCGGCCACACUGGAACGGAGACACGGUCCAGACACCAACAGGAGGCAGCAGUAGGGAAUCUUCCGCAAUAGGCGAAAGCCUGACGGAGCAACGCCGCGUGAGUGAAGAAGGUCUACGGAUCGUAAAACUCUGUUAUUAGGGAAGAACAAAUGUGUAAGUAACUAUGCACGUCUUGACGGUACCUAAUCAGAAAGCCACGGCUAACUACGUG
rnacentral:rRNA from 1 species